GCGCUGACGAGUGGCGGACGGGUGAGUAACGCGUAGGAAUCUGCCUUAUAGUGGGGGACAACGUGGGGAAACCCACGCUAAUACCGCAUACGCCCUACGGGGGAAAGGCCGGGAUCUUCGGACCGGUCGCUAUUGGAUGAGCCUGCGUUGGAUUAGCUAGUUGGUAGGGUAAAGGCCUACCAAGGCGACGAUCCAUAGCUGGUCUGAGAGGAUGAUCAGCCACACUGGGACUGAGACACGGCCCAGACUCC
rnacentral:rRNA from 1 species